CAAGUUACACCACACAGACUCAAGCCUAGAUACCAUAAGCCUGUCAUCCUCAUCUCUUGAUGAGAGCCCCCAUGGUAGUAAAACUCGUCAACUGCCCCAGCCAUUUGUCAUUCCUGCCUUUUCUUUUGAUGUCGAGAUGAAACUGAAGCAAGGAAACGAGGCUUACCACAGAGAUGGGACCCUUCUUGACAUAUCAAAAGACAUGAAAUCAGACAUCUUGGAUAAGUUGGCAGAAGCCAUAUAUGUCCACAGCCCCUACCCAAAACCUGACGAGUAUGAUCAUGUGGCCCAAGCUCUCAUCAACAGGCAUCCUUGUCUGAAGGAACCAGGGUCUGUGAAUGGAUGGUACUGUUGGAAGUUCAGUUUAAAGUUUAAAAUGGGCAAUUUCCGACAGAAGCUGCGAGUGGCCGGGUGCUCUGAGCUCAAAGUAAAUUUGCGCUCGCGUACCUCUAGUCCAGCUGGGUCAAGAAAAGUGAAGAGGGCCAAAAAGGCAGAAGUGAAUUUCCUGCCAGAUUUUCCAGAAGGGAAAACACAAAGUAAUCUUGACCAGGACAGAUCAGCCAUGGUCAUUGAGAUGAAAAAAAGAAAAGUUGACUGGAAGCAAAUUGGUAAAAUGAUGAAUAACACAUUCCCUUUACGAAGAAAAGAGAUUGUUGAAGAAGAACCUCUUGUGGCUCAAGUCAAAGAAAGAUGGCCAGCAUUGUUCUCUGAACAGCAGAUUGAAGACGAAUUUGCUCGCCUUACAUCUGUAGACCUGAAAGACUCGCUCUUUGCUGGACUUGAGAAGUACCUGGCAGGGUUCCUUGAGCUGUACAAAGCCAAGAGUGGCAAGUGAGGCUGACCGAGCUCCAAAGACAGCUUGAUGACAAUAGUUCCUCACUCAAUAAGAAGACGAUUCUUCUGCUGGGCCUUCCUCAUUUUCUCAAAGAAGAUCCCUCAUGCUUCUUCAAGACUGUGGAGGCCACAGAUGAUGAGGACAUGUUCACCAAAGGGAUGAAAGUUGGGAUUGUGAUGGUGAAAGAAGGAGAAGACCUCAUUGAUGUGUCAGUUGUCCUUGAGGAGGCAGUAACCCUGUGUGGUCUGAAGGACGUCCCAAGUGCCAUGGCCAUGCUGAUGGGCCUUAUUUUUUCCAUCAAUAUAGACUAUCCAAAGGAACUGAGGUACACAUUUGAAGUCAUUCAGAAGGUCCUCAUGAACAUCGGUGGAGAGCAGUGUUCCUCAGUUGUGAAUGGUCUGAAAAACAGACUGCUGCGGAAAACCAUGUAACCCUGAACUCUGAUGGCUCAUCUCAUGCAAAGUCAUUUUGUUUUUUGCACAUUAAUAAGUAAGUAAACUAAGUUAGACUUUUGAAUGUCUGCAUCUUUUUAAGUUGAAAAAUGAAAACAUUCCA